rnacentral:rRNA from 1 species
UUAGAUAAAACGCGAGGCACUCAAUAGGAACAUUGAUGAUUUCACCAUCCAGGGAUGUCCCGGAAAGAUUUUCGCGGUAUUACCGACCGUCGGGCCGGCUAUCCCCCGCCGAAGGUCAUGUUUCUCCACGUGUUUUGCAAAGACGGAGAU